UCACCUGGAGAACAGAUACGACCCAAUUCUUGGCUACAACUACACGUAUUGGCCAGAUUCUAAAUAUUUCAGGAACUAUAGAUUCUCACCACCCAUCAGUUGGUAUGACAACUGGUCCACCAGAUCGCGAGUUUGGUUUCCUUAUUAUUGGUCCACUAGGAGGUUAUUCCAACACUAUUCAGAAUACAGACCUUCUAGCAGAGCACUCAGAGAACAACGGUUGAGAAACAAUAAGA